ensembl:lncRNA
GCUGGCUGGAGAAAGUCAGGCUCUGGGCUGCAAUCCUGGGUUGCUCUUCCCUUCCUUGUUGCCUUUCCCUGCCAAUGUGGCUGAGGCUGCGGGGCUCCUGGGGCCUCUCCUCCCAGACUUUCAGGGACAGGCUCUGGAUGUGGUCAGGGAUCCCUAGGCUGGAGGGCAGGAGACUUCCGUUGCUGUCCCUUAUUCCUGCCAACCAGGCUGUCGGUGGUAGCCGAGCACUGCCCCAGCCUGACCAGGUUGCCUGGCAGUGUGGGCUCUGGCUGGGCAGUUUCCGGCUCCAGCUGUCCUUACCAGAAAAACGGGACACAGGUUUGAUCCCUGAUCCGGGCAGAUCCCACAUGCAGAACAACUAAGCCCGUGUACCACAACUAUGGAACCUGCACUCUAGUGCCUACAAGCCGCAGCUACUGAUCCCACGCACCUCAAGCACUGAAGCCUGCACCCCAGAUCCCUGUUCCACAACAAGAGAGGCCACAGCACCGCAGCUAGAGAGCAGCUCCUGCUCGCUGAAACUAGAUAAAGUCAGGGCAGCAGUAAAGACCCAGCUCAGCCAAAAAUAACCCAGCUGUCUGUGUAAUGACUUCCUUCCCUCGGCCUUGUUCACUGAGGUGUCCCUGGGCGACCAGCUGAGUCACCACAUUCCUUGCAGCUUAAAACACUGGCCCAAGCACAGGGGCCUGGCUCCUUCAUGUAGGUGGGACCUUUGAAGUCUGCUGGAGGGUGCGGAAAGACAGGCUACAGAGCUCCCAUCUCUCACCUGUACC